GACGAACGCUGGCGGCGUGCCUAACACAUGCAAGUCGAGCGGGGUGGUUCUGAAGGGCAACCGGAGGGAUCACCUAGCGGCGAACGGGUGAGUAACGCGUGGAUAACCUACCUCAAGGUCUGGGAUAACAGCUCGAAAGGGCUGCUAAUACCGGAUGUGGUGCAUAUGCUGCAUGGUAGAUGCACUAAAGGGGAAACCCGCCAUGAGAUGGGUCCGCGUCCCAUCAGCUAGUUGGUGGGGUAAAGGCCUACCAAGGCGACGACGGGUAGCCGGCCUGAGAGGGUGACCGGCCACACUGGGACUGAGACACGGCCCAGACUCCUACGGGGGGCAGCAGUGGGGAAUAUUGCACAAUGGGCGAAAGCCUGAUGCAGCGACGCCGCGUGGGCGAAGAAGGCCUUGGGUUGUAAAGCCCUGUCUGGAGGGACGAAGUAAUGACGGUACCUCCGGAGGAAGCCACGGCUAACUACGUG
rnacentral:rRNA from 1 species